GCUUACGGCCAUAUAACGCUGAAUGCACUUGUUCUCGAUCGAUCACGGAAGUUAAGCAACAUCGAGUCUAAUGAGUACUUAGAUGGGUAGCCGCUUGGGAAACAUAGGUGAUGUAACCA
rnacentral:rRNA from 1 species